rnacentral:tRNA from 1 species
GUCCUGUGGCGCAGUGGUAGCGCGCCGUUCUUAUAAGAUUCGUCAGACUCUUAUGACCUCAUCCAAGGUUAUGCGGAUGCCGUGGGUUCGAAGUAGGUUUCUCCCGCAAGAAAUCA